GACGAACGCUGGCGGCGUGCUUAACACAUGCAAGUCGAACGGUAAGGCCCCAGCUUGCUGGGGUACACGAGUGGCGAACGGGUGAGUAACACGUGGGUGACCUGCCCUGCACUUCGGGAUAAGCCUGGGAAACUGGGUCUAAUACCGGAUAGGACCACGGUGUGGAUACUGUGGUGGAAAGUUUUUUCGGUGUGGGAUGGGCCCGCGGCCUAUCAGCUUGUUGGUGGGGUAAUGGCCUACCAAGGCGGCGACGGGUAGCCGGCCUGAGAGGGUGGACGGCCACAUUGGGACUGAGACACGGCCCAGACUCCUACGGGAGGCAGCAGUGGGGAAUAUUGCACAAUGGGCGGAAGCCUGAUGCAGCGACGCCGCGUGGGGGAUGACGGCCUUCGGGUUGUAAACUCCUUUCACCAUCGACGAAGGGUUUCUGACGGUAGAUGGAGAAGAAGCACCGGCUAACUACGUG
rnacentral:rRNA from 1 species